rnacentral:lncRNA from 1 species
UUCGCUGCUGCUCACUGCUGCCAUUAGGCAGCAGUCCCUUUUUCCCUGCCCCUUGCUUUGAUAAUUUAUAACAUGCACUUUAGUUAUUUUAACACCUAAGAGAUGGUACACUCUUUUAACUAUCAUUCUACAUUAUUACAUCAUUUAUAUGAAUUCACUUGCUUGCAAACACCGCUACUUGUGGCAGACUGUUGCAGUCAAUGGCCAACAACCCCCUUUCGUUUUUUUUCUUGUUAUGUUAACUUUUCAUUUCUCGCGACUUUGAUUUAUUCAUGUUGAAAUUUAGCUACUAUAUGGGUGAUAUAUCCACC